rnacentral:rRNA from 1 species
GACGUAGGAGGCGAGCGUUGUCCGGAUUCAUUGGGCGUAAAGAGCGCGCAGGCGGCUUGGUAAGUCGGAUGUGAAAACCCGAGGCUCAACCUCGGGCGUGCAUCCGAAACUGCUCGGCUAGAGGUAGGUAGGGGAGAUCGGAAUUCCUGGUGUAGCGGUGAAAUGCGUAGAUAUCAGGAGGAACACCUGCGGUGCAGACGGCUUUCUGGACCAUUGCUGACGCUGAGACACGAAAGCGUGGGUAGCAAACAGG